UCGUAAUAUUGUGCAAUAACAACAACAAUAUACCCAGUGUAGUCUCACAAGUGAGGUCUAGGGAGGUUGGGGUGUACGCACACCUUACUCCUAUCUUUGAUACAUAUUGUGCAUUUAGUAUAUUUUGUAAAUGAAUAACAAUAGGUUCCAGAUCAAACCCCUAUUCAAGAGCUUGCAUUUCUCAAAGCAUGUUGAGCUCGUGUACAGCACAGGUAACAACGACUAGUAAAAAUACAAAUAGAGAAAAAA